CAUGUUAGUCGAGCGGUAGCACAGAGAGCUUGCUCUCGGGUGACGAGCGGCGGACGGGUGAGUAAUGUCUGGGAAACUGCCUGAUGGAGGGGGAUAACUACUGGAAACGGUAGCUAAUACCGCAUAACGUCGCAAGACCAAAGUGGGGGACCUUCGGGCCUCAUGCCAUCAGAUGUGCCCAGAUGGGAUUAGCUGGUAGGUGGGGUAACGGCUCACCUAGGCGACGAUCCCUAGCUGGUCUGAGAGGAUGACCAGCCACACUGGAACUGAGACACGGUCCAGACUCCUACGGGAGGCAGCAGUGGGGAAUAUUGCACAAUGGGCGCAAGCCUGAUGCAGCCAUGCCGCGUGUGUGAAGAAGGCCUUCGGGUUGUAAAGCACUUUCAGCGGGGAGGAAGGCGGUGAGGUUAAUAACCUCAUCGAUUGACGUUACCCGCAGAAGAAGCACCGGCUAACUCCGUGCCAGCAGCCGCGGUAAUACGGAGGGUGCAAGCGUUAAUCGGAAUUACUGGGCGUAAAGCGCACGCAGGCGGUCUGUCAAGUCGGAUGUGAAAUCCCCGGGCUCAACCUGGGAACUGCAUUCGAAACUGGCAGGCUAGAGUCUUGUAGAGGGGGGUAGAAUUCCAGGUGUAGCGGUGAAAUGCGUAGAGAUCUGGAGGAAUACCGGUGGCGAAGGCGGCCCCCUGGACAAAGACUGACGCUCAGGUGCGAAAGCGUGGGGAGCAAACAGGAUUAGAUACCCUGGUAGUCCACGCUGUAAACGAUGUCGAUUUGGAGGUUGUGCCCUUGAGGCGUGGCUUCCGGAGCUAACGCGUUAAAUCGACCGCCUGGGGAGUACGGCCGCAAGGUUAAAACUCAAAUGAAUUGACGGGGGCCCGCACAAGCGGUGGAGCAUGUGGUUUAAUUCGAUGCAACGCGAAGAACCUUACCUGGUCUUGACAUCCACAGAACUUUCCAGAGAUGGAUUGGUGCCUUCGGGAACUGUGAGACAGGUGCUGCAUGGCUGUCGUCAGCUCGUGUUGUGAAAUGUUGGGUUAAGUCCCGCAACGAGCGCAACCCUUAUCCUUUGUUGCCAGCGGUUAGGCCGGGAACUCAAAGGAGACUGCCAGUGAUAAACUGGAGGAAGGUGGGGAUGACGUCAAGUCAUCAUGGCCCUUACGACCAGGGCUACACACGUGCUACAAUGGCAUAUACAAAGAGAAGCGACCUCGCGAGAGCAAGCGGACCUCAUAAAGUAUGUCGUAGUCCGGAUUGGAGUCUGCAACUCGACUCCAUGAAGUCGGAAUCGCUAGUAAUCGUAGAUCAGAAUGCUACGGUGAAUACGUUCCCGGGCCUUGUACACACCGCCCGUCACACCAUGGGAGUGGGUUGCAAAAGAAGUAGGUAGCUUAACCUUCGGGAGGGCGCUUAACCACCUU
rnacentral:rRNA from 1 species